rnacentral:rRNA from 1 species
UACAGGGGAUGCAAGCGUUAUCCGGAAUUAUUGGGCGUAAAGCGUCCUGAGGUGGCUUACCCAGUCGACUGUGAAAGCUCAAGGCUUAACCUUGAAACGGCAGUCGAAACUUGUAAGCUUGAGUACGGUAGGGGCAGAGGGAAUUCCCGGAGGAGAGGUGAAAUUCGUAGAUAUCGGGAGGAAGGCCAAAGGCGAAAGCACUCUGCUGGGCCGAUUACUGACACUGACAGACGAAAGCUAGGGGA